rnacentral:rRNA from 1 species
UACGUAGGGAGCAAGCGUUGUCCGGAAUCAUUGGGCGUAAAGCGCACGUAGGCGGCCCUGUAAGUCCGCUGUAAAAGUCAAAGGCUCAACCUUUGAAAGCCGGUGGAUACUGCAGGGCUAGAGUCCGGAAGAGGCGAGUGGAAUUCCUGGUGUAGCGGUGGAAUGCGCAGAUAUCAGGGGGAACACCAAUAGCGAAGGCAGCUCGCUGGGACGGUACUGACGCUAAGGUGCGAAAGCGUGGGGAGCGAACAGG